rnacentral:rRNA from 1 species
AUUGAACGCUGGCGGCAUGCCUUACACAUGCGAGUCGAACGGCAGCACGGGUGCUUGCACCUGGUGGCGAGUGGAGAACGGGUGAGUAAUACAUCGGAACAUGUCCUGUAGUGGGGGAUAGCCCGGCGAAAGCCGGAUUAAUACCGCAUACGAUCUACGGAUGAAAGCGGGGGACCUUCGGGCCUCGCGCUAUAGGGUUGGCCGAUGGCUGAUUAGCUAGUUGGUGGGGUAAAGGCCUACCAAGGCGACGAUCAGUAGCUGGUCUGAGAGGACGACCAGCCACACUGGGACUGAGACACGGCCCAGACUCCUACGGGAGGCAGCAGUGGGGAAUUUUGGACAAUGGGCGAAAGCCUGAUCCAGCAAUGCCGCGUGUGUGAAGAAGGCCUUCGGGUUGUAAAGCACUUUUGUCCGGAAAGAAAUCCUUGGCCCUAAUACGGUCGGGGGAUGACGGUACCGGAAGAAUAAGCACCGGCUAACUACGUG